ACACAUGCAGUCGAGCGGCAGCACGGGUACUUGUACCUGGUGGCGAGCGGCGGACGGGUGAGUAAUGCCUAGGAAUCUGCCUAGUAGUGGGGGAUAACGUCCGGAAACGGGCGCUAAUACCGCAUACGUCCUACGGGAGAAAGUGGGGGAUCUUCGGACCUCACGCUAUUAGAUGAGCCUAGGUCGGAUUAGCUAGUUGGUGAGGUAAUGGCUCACCAAGGCGACGAUCCGUAACUGGUCUGAGAGGAUGAUCAGUCACACUGGAACUGAGACACGGUCCAGACUCCUACGGGAGGCAGCAGUGGGGAAUAUUGGACAAUGGGCGAAAGCCUGAUCCAGCCAUGCCGCGUGUGUGAAGAAGGUCUUCGGAUUGUAAAGCACUUUAAGUUGGGAGGAAGGGCAGUUACCUAAUACGUGAUUGUUUUGACGUUACCGACAGAAUAAGCAUUUUCUAACUCUGUGCCAGCAGCCGCGGUAAUACAGAGGGUGCAAGCGUUAAUCGGAAUUACUGGGCGUAAGGCGCGCGUAGGUGGUUUGUUAAUUUG
rnacentral:rRNA from 1 species